GAUGAACGCUGGCGGCGUGCCUAAUACAUGCAAGUCGAGCGAACGGACGAGAAGCUUGCUUCUCUGAUGUUAGCGGCGGACGGGUGAGUAACACGUGGAUAACCUACCUAUAAGACUGGGAUAACUUCGGGAAACCGGAGCUAAUACCGGAUGAUAUUUUGAACCGCAUGGUUCAAAAGUGAAAGACGGUCUUGCUGUCACUUAUAGAUGGAUCCGCGCUGCAUUAGCUAGUUGGUAAGGUAACGGCUUACCAAGGCAACGAUGCAUAGCCGACCUGAGAGGGUGGUCGGCCACACUGGAACUGAGACACGGUCCAGACUCCUACGGGAGGCAGCAGUAGGGAAUCUUCCGCAAUGGGCGAAAGCCUGACGGAGCAACGCCGCGUGAGUGAUGAAGGUCUUCGGAUCGUAAAACUCUGUUAUUAGGGAAGAACAUAUGUGUAAGUAACUGUGCACAUCGUGACGGUACCUAAUCAGAAAGCCACGGCUAACUACGUG
rnacentral:rRNA from 1 species